GACGUAGGGUGCGAGCGUUGUCCGGAUUUAUUGGGCGUAAAGAGCUCGUAGGCGGCUCGUCGCGUCAGCUGUGAAAACCUGCAGCUUAACUGUGGGCUUGCGGUCGAUACGGGCAUCACUGGAGUUCGGCAGGGGAGACUGGAAUUCCUGGUGUAGCGGUGAAGUGCGCAGAUAUCGGGAGGAACACCUAUGGCGAAGGCAGCUCGCUGGGACGUUACUGACGCUGAGACGCGAAAGCGUGGGGAGCAAACAGG
rnacentral:rRNA from 1 species